rnacentral:lncRNA from 1 species
GACAAUGUUAUCUUGGCCAGAUGCGUAUAUCUUGGAGAAGAAGCCGGGAGAGAGUAAACAACAUGGAUUUGUGCAUUAAGGCGGGCACGGGAUCGGAUAGAAGACAGAAAAAAGGACCCACUACGUCGCACAUGUGCGCUCCCGUGCGACGGCACGUUACCAGCCUGACCUGUCCUUUUUUCAUCUCUUUCCCGGAUCCCAACAGCUUCUCUUUUGUCAGAUGCACCUGUUUUUAUAAAUGUCCCUUCC